UUUAUGGAGAGUUUGAUCCUGGCUCAGGAUGAACGCUGGCGGCGUGCCUAAUACAUGCAAGUCGAGCGAACGGACGAGAAGCUUGCUUCUCUGAUGUUAGCGGCGGACGGGUGAGUAACACGUGGAUAACCUACCUAUAAGACUGGGAUAACUUCGGGAAACCGGAGCUAAUACCGGAUAAUAUUUUGAACCGCAUGGUUCAAAAGUGAAAGACGG
rnacentral:rRNA from 1 species